rnacentral:lncRNA from 1 species
GGAUGUUGAAAUAGCCGUUGGAAUAGAAAUUUAGAUUGAGGAAUUAGGGAUUUGUCUUGGGGUUUGAUGUCUUUACGGGAAGACGCGCGUGUUGUUAGAGUUUGGACUUGUUUGUGAAUACUUACUUGGGUUUGAUGUCUUUACAGGUCUGGAGUGGAUCUGGCUCGUGCGAACCUUAUUCUCAACCUCAAAUCUUAUAAUUUCUUGCUGAAUAUAAACGAUGAGGCAGUUAUUGGAAAUAGUUGUUAGGGAUUCCAUUGCCCAACACGAACAUGGCUCGAAGGCUUGGAC